GGUUCUGCUCCCCUUUCCUGGCGUUGGCGGCUCAGAGGGGAUCGCAGUUUGCCCUAGGGGCUUGUAGGGUGGUGGGUCUAGGCAGUUAGCCCAUGGGAAAGCCCGCAGCUGACCGUGGCUGAAGCUGACCUCCAAAGUGGAUAUCCCCUCCAAACACACGUCCCAAGGCCGGGCUUCUGGUAGAUGGCACAGCCUAAACCGCAGGGCUUUGGACUCUAAACGUCGUCUUUCCCCUCACGGGUCUCCUGAGCUGGUUUAGGGCGUAUGUGAAGGUGGUAGAAAGCAGAGGCUCUGAAGAGUCGGGGCUACAAACGCACGAGGCUAUGUUUCCUUAUCUGUGAAAUGGGAGGUGGCCGUUUCCCUUGGAAGGCUGUUGGAAGGCAUGUACAUUGUGGCUGUAAAGAAACAGUGGGUUUCUCUAGUGUCCCAGAUUGCCAUCAAAUCCAGGAUCCCCCUGCCUCAGAUCAGCCUUCUGAGUGCUGGGGUUGCAGAUGUGCCCCCCAUGCCUGUUUCAAAUUUGCUGUCUCGCAGUUCUGGGCACACACGUCUAAAAUGAGUUGUCUGGCUUAAAUGAGAGCUUGGACAGGGUUUUUCUGUGUAACAGAGCCCUGGCUCUCCUGGACUCGAUUUGUAGACCAGGCUGACCUCGAACUCCUGCCUCCUGAGUGCCGGCAUUAAAGGCGUGCACCACCACACCUGGCUUUGAUGUUGAUUCUGAACUGUCAACUUGGCUGGAUUUAAAAUCGACCAGGAGGCCAGGCUUUGGGCGUGUCUUAUUUCCAGAGAGGUGAGAGGUCUGCUUCUGACGAGCUGUUCUUGUUAACUGGAGCAUAUCAACCCUGGACAUCGUGUUUUGUAAAGCUCACCCUGAGAAAGGCUCAGAGCGCCAGCAGGAUCCUAACAGCCAGUGCCGUCACUGAUAAAGGCUUUCUGUUGGCUUAAGCCCGUGUCUGAGCGGUCUUGUCUAGUGGACAGUCCACAGCCAUUGAGCUGAGCACCAGCCCACGGCUCUCUGCUUCCUGUCUGUGGCUGCAGUGUGACCGUCUGCCUGACGAUCCUGUCACCAUGCCUUUCCUCCUCCGGGGGACUGUCCCCUCAGACCUGUCCCCUCAGAGCCAACACAGAUGCUUCCUCUGCUGUUAGGUACUUUGUCAUAGCAACCAGAUAAAUAUCCAACACGCCACUUCCUUGUUUGUCCA